GAGAGGAACACUCGUGCCGAAGGCGAGUCACUGGACAGUAUCUGACGCUGAGGCACGAAGGCCAGGGUAGCGAAAGGAUUUAGAUACCCCUGUAGUCCUGCCAGUAAACGGUGUGCGCUUGGUGUGAGGGGAUUCGACCCCCCUUGUGCCGGAGCUAACGCGUUAAGCGCACCGCCUGGGAAGUACGGCCGCAAGGCUAAAACUCAAAGAAAUUGACGGGGACCCGCACAAGCGGUGGAGUAUGUGGCUUAAUUCGAUGCAACGCGAAGAACCUUACCAAGGCUUGACAUGCAUCUCUAAGCGCGUGAAAGCGCGUGACCCUUCGGGGGAUUUGCACAGGUGCUGCAUGGCCGUCGUCAGCUCGUGUCGUGAGAUGUUGGGUUAAGUCCCGCAACGAGCGCAACCCUUGUGACUAGUUGCCAGCACGUCAUGGUGGGAACUCUAGUCAGACUGCCCAGAUCAACUGGGAGGAAGGUGGGGACGACGUCAGGUCAGUAUGGCCCUUACGCCUUGGGCUGCACACGUACUACAAUGCCCAGCACAAUGAGAACCGAGACCGCGAGGUGGAGGAAAUCUGCAAAACUGGGCCCAGUUCGGAUUGGAGGCUGCAACUCGCCUCCAUGAAGCCGGAAUCGCUAGUAAUGACGCAUCAGCUACGGCGUUGUGAAUACGUUCCCGGGUCUUGUACACACAGCCCGUCACAUCAUGGAAGCCGGUCGCACCCGAAGUGCCUGAGCCAACC
rnacentral:rRNA from 1 species